rnacentral:rRNA from 1 species
AGCAGCCGCGGUAAUUCCAGCUCCAAUAGCGUAUAUUAAAGUUGUUGCAGUUAAAAAGCUCGUAGUUGAAUUUCGGGAUCAAUAUGUCUGUCGUGCCUUCGGUACGUACGGGUAUAAUUGGUUUCUACCUUCUGAUGAACCUUGAUGCCAUUAAUUUGGUGUCUUGGGGACUCAGGGCUGUUACCUUGAAAAAUUAGAGUGUUUAAAGCAGGCAUGCGCUUGAAUACAUUAGCAUGGAAUAAUGAAAUAGGACGUUCGAUUCUAUUUUGUUGGUUUCUAGGAUCGACGUAAUGAUUAAUAGGGAUAGUUGGGGGCAUUAGUAUUCAAUUGUCAGAGGUGAAAUUCUUGGAUUUAUUGAAGACUAACUACUGCGAAAGCAUUUGCCAAGGAUGUUUUCAUUAAUCAAGAACGAAAGUUAGGGGAUCGAAGACGAUCAGAUACCGUCGUAGU